GACGAACGCUGGCGGCGUGCCUAAUACAUGCAAGUUGAGCGCUGAAGGUUGGUACUUGUACCAACUGGAUGAGCAGCGAACGGGUGAGUAACGCGUGGGGAAUCUGCCUUUGAGUGGGGGACAACAUUUGGAAACGAAUGCUAAUACCGCAUAAAAACUUUAAACACAAGUUUUAAGUUUGAAAGAUGCAAUUGCAUCACUCAAAGAUGAUCCCGCGUUGUAUUAGCUAGUUGGUGAGGUAAAGGCUCACCAAGGCGAUGAUACAUAGCCGACCUGAGAGGGUGAUCGGCCACAUUGGGACUGAGACACGGCCCAAACUCCUACGGGAGGCAGCAGUAGGGAAUCUUCGGCAAUGGACGAAAGUCUGACCGAGCAACGCCGCGUGAGUGAAGAAGGGUUUCGGAUCGUAAAACUCUGUUGGUAGAGAAGAACGUUGGUGAGAGUGGAAAGCUCAUCAAGUGACGGUAACUACCCAGAAAGGGACGGCUAACUACGUG
rnacentral:rRNA from 1 species